rnacentral:rRNA from 1 species
GACGAACGCUGGCGGCGGGCUUAACACAUGCAAGUCGAACGGUGAACCUCUUCGGAGGGGAUCAGUGGCGAACGGGUGAGUAACACGUGGGCAACCUGCCCCCGUCUCUGGGAUAACUCCAAGAAAUUGGGGCUAAUACCGUAUGUUCACCGCUUCCCGCAUGGGUGGUGGUGGAAAGGGUUUCCGGCUGGGGAUGGGCCCGCGGCCUAUCAGCUUGUUGGGUGGGGUGUGGCCUACCGAGGCGAUGAGGGGUAGCGGGCCUGGGAGGGGUACCGGCCACACGGCGACUGAGACACGGCGCAGACUCCUACGGGAGGCAGCAGUGGGGAAUAUUGCGCAACGGGCGGAAGCCCGACGAAGAGAAGCCGCGUGGGGGAUGACGGCCUUCGGGUUGUAAACCUCUUUCAGCAGGGACGAAGCGCAAGUGACGGAACCUGCAGAAGAAACACCGGCAAACUACGU